GGUGGGUUGUGUUUAUGUAGUUGAAGUAAUCGUGUAUGAGGUGGGUUGUGUUUAUGUAGUUGAAGUAAUCGUGUAUGAGGUGGGUUGUGUUUAUGUAGUUGAAGUAAUCGUGUAUGAGGUGGGUUGUGUUUAUGUAGUUGAAGUAAUCGUGUAUGAGGUGGGUUGUGUUUAUGUAGUUGAAGUAAUCGUGUAUGAGGUGGGUUGUGUUUAUGUAGUUCAUGAAAAUAUAAUUUUCUCGAGAAGUUAUUUGUCUUGAAAAACUACUUUCCAAGUGUUAAAAGAAUAUUCAGGGCUUUUAUAAAAUGUCUGAGACAAACUCUGCCAGUCCAAAUCUCAAUGGCAGGAUGUACAUCAAAUUUGACACCAGACCUAUUUUACAAGCCUCCCUUCUUCUGACAGCUAAGGACCCCAUUUAUUCAACAUUUGCACUUUGCAUCAGGUAUCAAGAUUGCACAGUAAGUUUACCAUAGGGAAUUGGACAUAAAAGGUUAAAUGAAAAGGUAAGAAUAAAGGUUCUGAAAGUGAAUCAUUUAUCAAGUAUAAAUGAAGACAGUUUGCUGUUUUAGCUUUGGUGUUUCAUCCAAUAAAAACAGGUGCAAACUUUUCACCAGGUCCAAAUGCAUAGCAAAUGUGACCUUAACUCUGUUUUGGCAAAUACCUAUGCAGGCUAGGUUUAUACAACAUUUCACAAAAGGUUUCAGACUGCACAUUGCAACACAGGAACUACACUCUUAGAAAAAAAUCUAGAACAACCCUUUUGGAACCCUUUUUUCUAAGAGUGUAGGCGGUAUGAUUACUGAGCUACUGUAAAAGUGAGUACAGAACCUAUGAUGCCUACUCUCACUUAGCCCCAGUAAUGUUGUGUUGUAUCUACUCUCACCUAGCCCCAGUAAUGUUGUGUUGUAUCUACUCUCACCUAGCCCCAGUAAUGUUGUGUUGUAUCUACUCUCACCUAGCCCCAGUAAUGUUGUGUUGUAUCUACUCUCACCUAGCCCCAGUAAUGUUGUGUUGUAUCUACUCUCACCUUGCCCCAGUAAUGUUGUGUUGUAUCUACUCUCACCUAGCCCCAGUAAUGUUGUGUUGUAUCUACUCUCACCUAGCCCCAGUAAUGUUGUGUUGUAUCUACCCUGUGCUCUUGAAAGCAGCCCCGUUCACUUGGCUUAUAAAUAGGGCACACAGGAACUAGCCACUUCCUGACUGAUCUCCUCUCUUCUUUAGAUAUCUCUUUAGUCAGAGACCAGAUCAUUUGUAUCACACUGAAAUGCACUCCUAGGUGUUGCUAUGUGCUAAAACAGACUAAGACUUAGAAGCUUGGUGGUAUUGAAGAACCGUGGUAUUAGACAGUUAGUGGCAUCCAUUUUGUUUUAAAGGGGCUUUUAAGGCUAUGAAAUCUUAAUGCUUUGUCAAGUAUUUUCUUAUUUUAUCUUAGCAUUAGGUUUAACCUUUGUCUGCUUCAUAGGUUUGAGGGUAUUGGGUAUUGACCAAUUGAAACAGAAGGAUCUGAUCCAUUUUGAUGUGAACUCAAAUGUGGUUCCUACCUAACAUUUGUCCUUUACAAAUGCACAGCAAGGAUGAUAAUGCCUUGUCCAAGACUUUAGGAAGUCAAAUAUGUAAACAUGAUUUGUUUUAUAUUUUUAAAGUUUAAAGUUGUACUAUUAGGUCUAACAGUAGAUACUCUGUCAAUUCAUCUAUUGUUAUUUUGAAUAUCAAAUUGCACAUAACACAUUUUCUUACGAACUACUUAAUAUUUAAGUUAUUGAUCUUGUCACACACUCCUUGUGGUUGGUUGGUCCGUCGUUGUAGAAAAACAAUAGAUUUAUCCCCUCAAACUGGCUUAUAGCUGUAGCUGAGUUGCAAAUGUAUGUUGAGGUUUGUAAUAUUGUUAUGUAAUAUAUUUCAUUAUACAAAUGCUCUUACUAAUAAUUGUACUGAUAAGGUUUAUACGCCCGUAGACAUUUUUGACACGGUUUAACAUGUA
rnacentral:lncRNA from 1 species